rnacentral:rRNA from 1 species
GACGAAGGACCCAAGCGUUAUCCGGAUUCAUUGGGUUUAAAGGGUGCGUAGGCGGAUUGAUAAGUCAGUGGUGAAAGCCUGCAGCUUAACUGCAGAACUGCCAUUGAUACUGUCGAUCUUGAAUAUGUUUGAUGUGGGCGGAAUAUGACAUGUAGCGGUGAAAUGCUUAGAUAUGUCAUAGAACACCGAUUGCGAAGGCAGCUCACAAAGCCAUAAUUGACGCUGAGGCACGAAAGCGUGGGGAGCAAACAGGAUUAGAUACCCUGGUAGUCCACGCCGUAAACUUUGAUCACUCGCUGUUGGCGAUACACUGUCAGCGGCCAAGCGAAAGCGUUAAGUGAUCCACCUGGGGAGUACGAUCGCAAGAUUGAA